rnacentral:rRNA from 1 species
UACGUAGGGGGCAAGCGUUGUCCGGAAUUAUUGGGCGUAAAGAGCGCGUAGGCGGUCCGAUAAGUCGGCUGUGAAAGUCAAGGGCUCAACCCUUGAAAGCCGGCCGAUACUGUCGGACUAGAGUCCGGAAGAGGCGAGUGGAAUUCCCGGUGUAGCGGUGAAAUGCGCAGAUAUCGGGAGGAACACCAAUGGCGAAGGCAGCUCGCUGGGACGGUACUGACGCUGAGGUGCGAAAGCGUGGGGAGCAAACAGG